AAAAGUGAAAGACGGUCUUGCUGUCACUUAUAGAUGGAUCCGCGCUGCAUUAGCUAGUUGGUAAGGUAACGGCUUACCAAGGCAACGAUGCAUAGCCGACCUGAGAGGGUGAUCGGCCACACUGGAACUGAGACACGGUCCAGACUCCUACGGGAGGCAGCAGUAGGGAAUCUUCCGCAAUGGGCGAAAGCCUGACGGAGCAACGCCGCGUGAGUGAUGAAGGUCUUCGGAUCGUAAAACUCUGUUAUUAGGGAAGAACAUAUGUGUAAGUAACUGUGCACAUCUUGACGGUACCUAAUCAGAAAGCCACGGCUAACUACGUGCCAGCAGCCGCGGUAAUACGUAGGUGGCAAGCGUUAUCCGGAAUUAUUGGGCGUAAAGCGCGCGUAGGCGGUUUUUUAAGUCUGAUGUGAAAGCCCACGGCUCAACCGUGGAGGGUCAUUGGAAACUGGAAAACUUGAGUGCAGAAGAGGAAAGUGGAAUUCCAUGUGUAGCGGUGAAAUGCGCAGAGAUAUGGAGGAACACCAGUGGCGAAGGCGACUUUCUGGUCUGUAACUGACGCUGAUGUGCGAAAGCGUG
rnacentral:rRNA from 1 species